GAUCUUCUCCUUCAUGGGAGAUGAUUGAAAGAUGGUUUCGGCUAUCACUUACAGAUGGGCCCGCGGUGCAUUAGCUAGUUGGUGAGGUAACGGCUCACCAAGGCAACGAUGCAUAGCCGACCUGAGAGGGUGAUCGGCCACACUGGGACUGAGACACGGCCCAGACUCCUACGGGAGGCAGCAGUAGGGAAUCUUCCGCAAUGGACGAAAGUCUGACGGAGCAACGCCGCGUGAGUGAUGAAGGCUUUCGGGUCGUAAAACUCUGUUGUUAGGGAAGAACAAGUACAAGAGUAACUGCUUGUACCUUGACGGUACCUAACCAGAAAGCCACGGCUAACUACGUGCCAGCAGCCGCGGUAAUACGUAGGUGGCAAGCGUUAUCCGGAAUUAUUGGGCGUAAAGCGCGCGCAGGCGGUUUCUUAAGUCUGAUGUGAAAGCCCACGGCUCAACCGUGGAGGGUCAUUGGAAACUGGGGAACUUUGAGUGCAGAAGAGAAAAGCGGAAUUCCACGUGUAGCGGUGAAAUGCGUAGAGAUGUGGAGGAACACCAGUGGCGAAGGCGGGUUUUUUGGUCUGUAACUGACGCU
rnacentral:rRNA from 2 species